rnacentral:rRNA from 1 species
UACGUAGGUGGCAAGCGUUGUCCGGAUUUAUUGGGUUUAAAGGGUGCGUAGGCGGCUUUGUAAGUCAGUGGUGAAAUAUGGCAGCUCAACUGUCAGGGUGCCAUUGAUACUGCAGAGCUUGAGUACAGAUGAGGUAGGCGGAAUUGACGGUGUAGCGGUGAAAUGCUUAGAUAUCGUCAAGAACACCGAUAGCGAAGGCAGCUUACUGGGCUGUAACUGACGCUGAGGCACGAAAGUGCGGGGAUCAAACAGG